UCGGCGAGCGGCGGACGGCUGAGUAACGCGCUGGGAAUCUACCCCUAAAGUGAGGGAUAACCGCCCGAAAGGGUGGCUAAUACCGCAUAUGAUCUUCGGAUUAAAGGAUUUAUCCGCUUUAGGAAGAGCCCGCGUUAGAUUAGGUAGUUGGUAGGGUAAUGGCCUACCAAGCCAACGAUCUAUAGCUGGUCUGAGAGGAUGAUCAGCCAGACUGGAACUGAGACACGGUCCAGACUCCUACGGGAGGCAGCAGUGAGGAAUCUUCCACAAUGGGCGAAAGCCUGAUGGAGCAACGCCGCGUGAAGGAUGAAGGCCUUCGGGUUGUAAACUUCUUUUAUGAGUGAAGAAUAUGACGGUAACUCAUGAAUAAGCACCGGCUAACUACGUGCCAGCAGCCGCGGUCAUACGUAGGGUGCAAGCAUUAUCCGGAGUGACUGGGCGUAAAGAGUUGCGUAAGC
rnacentral:rRNA from 1 species